GACGAACGCUGGCGGCGUGCCUAAUACAUGCAAGUCGAACGCUGAAGAGAGGAGCUUGCUCUUCUUGGAUGAGUUGCGAACGGGUGAGUAACGCGUAGGUAACCUGCCUUGUAGCGGGGGAUAACUAUUGGAAACGAUAGCUAAUACCGCAUAACAAUGGAUGACACAUGUCAUUUAUUUGAAAGGGGCAAUUGCUCCACUACAAGAUGGACCUGCGUUGUUUUAGCUAGUAGGUGAGGUAAUGGCUCACCUAGGCGAGGAUACAUAGCCGACCAGAGAGGAUGAUCGACCACUCGUGAGUUGCGACAACGCCCAAGCCCCUACGGGAGGCAGCAGUGGGGAUUCUUAGGCAAGGGCGGCAACCCUGGCCGAACGACGCCGCGUGAGUGAAGGAAGUUUUCGGAUCGUGAUGCUCUGUUGUGAGUCAAGAACGGGUGUGAGAGUGGAAAAUUCACGCUGUGACGGUAGCUUAACAGAAAGGGACGGCUAACUACGUG
rnacentral:rRNA from 1 species